rnacentral:rRNA from 1 species
AAAUUGAAGAGUUUGAUCAUGGCUCAGAUUGAACGCUGGCGGCAGGCCUAACACAUGCAAGUCGAACGGUAGCACAGAGAGCUUGCUCUCGGGUGACGAGUGGCGGACGGGUGAGUAAUGUCUGGGAAACUGCCCGAUGGAGGGGGAUAACUACUGGAAACGGUAGCUAAUACCGCAUAACGUCGCAAGACCAAAGUGGGGGACCUUCGGGCCUCACACCAUCGGAUGUGCCCAGAUGGGAUUAGCUAGUAGGUGGGGUAACGGCUCACCUAGGCGACGAUCCCUAGCUGGUCUGAGAGGAUGACCAGCCACACUGGAACUGAGACACGGUCCAGA